rnacentral:misc_RNA from 1 species
UCUCCGUUGGUGAACCAGCGGAGGGAUCAUUACCGAGUUUACAACUCCCAAACCCAAUGUGAACCAUACCAAACUGUUGCCUCGGCGGGGUCACGCCCCGGGUGCGUCGCAGCCCCGGAACCAGGCGCCCGCCGGAGGGACCAACCAAACUCUUUCUGUAGUCCCCUCGCGGACGUUAUUUUUACAGCUCUGAGUAAAAAUUCAAAAUGAAUCAAAACUUUCAACAACGGAUCUCUUGGUUCUG